AUCUCUGUGGCGCAAUCGGUCAGCACGUUCCGCUGUUAACCAAAAGGUUGGUGGUUUGAGCCCACCUAGGGACG
rnacentral:tRNA from 1 species